GUUCUUGUAGUUGAAAUACAACGAUGGUUUUUCAUAUCAUAAGUCAUGGUCAAAUUCCAUGU
rnacentral:tRNA from 1 species